rnacentral:rRNA from 1 species
GGGUUGUGAGGUUAAGCGACUAAGCGUACACGGUGGAUGCCCUGGCAGUCAGAGGCGAUGAAGGACGUGCUAAUCUGCGAUAAGCGUCGGUAAGGUGAUAUGAACCGUUAUAACCGGCGAUUUCCGAAUGGGGAAACCCAGUGUGUUUCGACACACUAUCAUUAACUGAAUCCAUAGGUUAAUGAGGCGAACCGGGGGAACUGAAACAUCUAAGUACCCCGAGGAAAAGAAAUCAACCGAGAUUCCCCCAGUAGCGGCGAGCGAACGGGGAGCAGCCCAGAGCCUGAAUCAGUGUGUGUGUUAGUGGAAGCGUCUGGAAAGGCGCGCGAUACAGGGUGACAGCCCCGUACACAAAAAUGCACAUGCUGUGAGCUCGAUGAGUAGGGCGGGACACGUGGUAUCCUGUCUGAAUAUGGGGGGACCAUCCUCCAAGGCUAAAUACUCCUGACUGACCGAUAGUGAACCAGUACCGUGAGGGAAAGGCGAAAAGAACCCCGGCGAGGGGAGUGAAAAAGAACCUGAAACCGUGUACGUACAAGCAGUGGGAGCACGCUUAGGCGUGUGACUGCGUACCUUUUGUAUAAUGGGUCAGCGACUUAUAUUCUGUAGCAAGGUUAACCGAAUAGGGGAGCCGAAGGGAAACCGAGUCUUAACUGGGCGUUAAGUUGCAGGGUAUAGACCCGAAACCCGGUGAUCUAGCCAUGGGCAGGUUGAAGGUUGGGUAACACUAACUGGAGGACCGAACCGACUAAUGUUGAAAAAUUAGCGGAUGACUUGUGGCUGGGGGUGAAAGGCCAAUCAAACCGGGAGAUAGCUGGUUCUCCCCGAAAGCUAUUUAGGUAGCGCCUCGUGAAUUCAUCUCCGGGGGUAGAGCACUGUUUCGGCAAGGGGGUCAUCCCGACUUACCAACCCGAUGCAAACUGCGAAUACCGGAGAAUGUUAUCACGGGAGACACACGGCGGGUGCUAACGUCCGUCGUGAAGAGGGAAACAACCCAGACCGCCAGCUAAGGUCCCAAAGUCAUGGUUAAGUGGGAAACGAUGUGGGAAGGCCCAGACAGCCAGGAUGUUGGCUUAGAAGCAGCCAUCAUUUAAAGAAAGCGUAAUAGCUCACUGGUCGAGUCGGCCUGCGCGGAAGAUGUAACGGGGCUAAACCAUGCACCGAAGCUGCGGCAGCGACGCUUAUGCGUUGUUGGGUAGGGGAGCGUUCUGUAAGCCUGCGAAGGUGUGCUGUGAGGCAUGCUGGAGGUAUCAGAAGUGCGAAUGCUGACAUAAGUAACGAUAAAGCGGGUGAAAAGCCCGCUCGCCGGAAGACCAAGGGUUCCUGUCCAACGUUAAUCGGGGCAGGGUGAGUCGACCCCUAAGGCGAGGCCGAAAGGCGUAGUCGAUGGGAAACAGGUUAAUAUUCCUGUACUUGGUGUUACUGCGAAGGGGGGACGGAGAAGGCUAUGUUGGCCGGGCGACGGUUGUCCCGGUUUAAGCGUGUAGGCUGGUUUUCCAGGCAAAUCCGGAAAAUCAAGGCUGAGGCGUGAUGACGAGGCACUACGGUGCUGAAGCAACAAAUGCCCUGCUUCCAGGAAAAGCCUCUAAGCAUCAGGUAACAUCAAAUCGUACCCCAAACCGACACAGGUGGUCAGGUAGAGAAUACCAAGGCGCUUGAGAGAACUCGGGUGAAGGAACUAGGCAAAAUGGUGCCGUAACUUCGGGAGAAGGCACGCUGAUAUGUAGGUGAAGUCCCUCGCGGAUGGAGCUGAAAUCAGUCGAAGAUACCAGCUGGCUGCAACUGUUUAUUAAAAACACAGCACUGUGCAAACACGAAAGUGGACGUAUACGGUGUGACGCCUGCCCGGUGCCGGAAGGUUAAUUGAUGGGGUCAGCGCAAGCGAAGCUCUUGAUCGAAGCCCCGGUAAACGGCGGCCGUAACUAUAACGGUCCUAAGGUAGCGAAAUUCCUUGUCGGGUAAGUUCCGACCUGCACGAAUGGCGUAAUGAUGGCCAGGCUGUCUCCACCCGAGACUCAGUGAAAUUGAACUCGCUGUGAAGAUGCAGUGUACCCGCGGCAAGACGGAAAGACCCCGUGAACCUUUACUAUAGCUUGACACUGAACAUUGAGCCUUGAUGUGUAGGAUAGGUGGGAGGCUUUGAAGUGUGGACGCCAGUCUGCAUGGAGCCGACCUUGAAAUACCACCCUUUAAUGUUUGAUGUUCUAACGUGGACCCGUGAUCCGGGUUGCGGACAGUGUCUGGUGGGUAGUUUGACUGGGGCGGUCUCCUCCUAAAGAGUAACGGAGGAGCACGAAGGUUGGCUAAUCCUGGUCGGACAUCAGGAGGUUAGUGCAAUGGCAUAAGCCAGCUUGACUGCGAGCGUGACGGCGCGAGCAGGUGCGAAAGCAGGUCAUAGUGAUCCGGUGGUUCUGAAUGGAAGGGCCAUCGCUCAACGGAUAAAAGGUACUCCGGGGAUAACAGGCUGAUACCGCCCAAGAGUUCAUAUCGACGGCGGUGUUUGGCACCUCGAUGUCGGCUCAUCACAUCCUGGGGCUGAAGUAGGUCCCAAGGGUAUGGCUGUUCGCCAUUUAAAGUGGUACGCGAGCUGGGUUUAGAACGUCGUGAGACAGUUCGGUCCCUAUCUGCCGUGGGCGCUGGAGAAUUGAGGGGGGCUGCUCCUAGUACGAGAGGACCGGAGUGGACGCAUCACUGGUGUUCGGGUUGUCAUGCCAAUGGCACUGCCCGGUAGCUAAAUGCGGAAGAGAUAAGUGCUGAAAGCAUCUAAGCACGAAACUUGCCCCGAGAUGAGUUCUCCCUGACUCCUUGAGAGUCCUGAAGGAACGUUGAAGACGACGACGUUGAUAGGCCGGGUGUGUAAGCGCAGCGAUGCGUUGAGCUAACCGGUACUAAUGAACCGUGAGGCUUAACCUUACAACGCCGAAG